AAGUAAAAGGUUUGAUUUCUUUUUUUCGCAUAUGCAUAUAUGCCUCAACUCUUUAUCUAUUUAAAUUUUAAUAAAAACGAUAACAACAGCUUUAUAAGUUUUUUUUCUGUAAUUAUUCUUCCUUAUAUCCUGAAGGAUAUUGUAUAGUGAUCCAUAGAGGACAACUGGGUGUUUUACAACACUUCCCUGGUGCAGGUUCUU
rnacentral:lncRNA from 1 species